rnacentral:lncRNA from 1 species
AGCAAACCGUCUUUCUCUCCGGCAACGGCACCAUAAAUGCUUGUUGAUAUUUGGUAACGCAAUCAGAAAUUAAUCCACAAGCGCACGGAUAUCUGUGAGCACUUCACCCGGGAUGUUAUCCAGAGUAUCGUAUUUAUAUUUUUACCACUAGGAGAAAGUGUGCAUCUGACUAACCCAGUCUAUUACUACUAACCUUUAGACUACAACCACUAUGACUCGAUGUGAGUGAUAUAUAGAGAAGACUACAACCGCACUCUCGUUCAAACCUUGGUAAGGAUGAUCUACUGUUCUGUUGGGGAGGCUCAUGGAAUCUAGACACCAUAGAGGAUAUUCGACCCGCACCUAUAAACCCUAUCGAGCC